rnacentral:pre_miRNA from 1 species
AAUAAAUUAAUCUUUUACUUUUUACCUACAAUGUUUGACUCUUCGUCUUAUUUGAAAAAAAUUAUGAUUAAUAUUUUUGUUUUUAUUAUAUGAUAAAUCAUGAAUAGUACUUUAAGUGUGACUAAUUUUUUUAAAAAUUUCUUGAAAAUUUUUCAAAUAAGGCGGAUGGUCGAACGCUAGAUACGAAAACC